GUACCCUCAAGCUUUGCUUGGUGUUGGGCGUUUUUGUCCCCCUAACAAGGGACUCGCCUUAAAAGGAUUGGCAGCCGGCCUACUGGUUUCGCAGCGCAGCACAUUUUUGCGUCCUUGCCUGAGUUGUUAGCAUCCAGUAAGACGAUUUAAC
rnacentral:misc_RNA from 1 species